GAUGAACGCUGGCGGCGUGCCUAAUACAUGCAAGUCGAGCGAACGGACGAGAAGCUUGCUUCUCUGAUGUUAGCGGCGGACGGGUGAGUAACACGUGGAUAACCUACCUAUAAGACUGGGAUAACUUCGGGAAACCGGAGCUAAUACCGGAUAAUAUUUUGAACCGCAUGGUUCAAAAGUGAAAGACGGUCUUGCUGUCACUUAUAGAUGGAUCUGCGCUGCAUUAGCUAGUUGGUAAGGUAACGGCUUACCAAGGCAACGAUGCAUAGCCGACCUGAGAGGGUGAUCGGCCACACUGGAACUGAGACACGGUCCAGACUCCUACGGGAGGCAGCAGUAGGGAAUCUUCCGCAAUGGGCGAAAGCCUGACGGAGCAACGCCGCGUGAGUGAUGAAGGUCUUCGGAUCGUAAAACUCUGUUAUUAGGGAAGAACAUAUGUGUAAGUAACUAUGCACAUCUUGACGGUACCUAAUCAGAAAGCCACGGCUAACUACGUG
rnacentral:rRNA from 1 species